GAUGAAGAACGUAGCGAAAUGCGAUAAGUAGUGUGAAUUGCAGAAUUCAGUGAAUCAUCGAAUCUUUGAACGCACAUUGCGCCCCUUGGUAUUCCAUGGGGCAUGCCUGUUCGAGCGUCAUUUGUACCUUCAAGCUUUGCUUGGUGUUGGGUGUUUGUCCCUCGGGACUCGCCUUAAAGUCAUUGGCAGCCAGUGUUUUGGUUUUGAAGCGCAGCACAAGUCGCGAUUCAAGGCUAUCCGCCCGCUUCCACAAGCCUUUUUCACUUUUGACCUCGGAUCAGGUAGGGAUACCUGCUGAACUUAAGCAUAUCAAUAAGCGGAGGA
rnacentral:misc_RNA from 1 species